rnacentral:rRNA from 1 species
AGCCUGACGGAGCAAGACCGCGUGAGGGAGGAAGGCUCUUGGGUUGUAAACCUCUUUUCUCAGGGAAGAAGCUCUGACGGUACCUGAGGAAUCAGCCUCGGCUAACUCCGUGCCAGCAGCCGCGGUAAUACGGAGGAGGCAAGCGUUAUCCGGAAUGAUUGGGCGUAAAGCGUUCGUAGGUGGCAAUUCAAGUCUGCUGUCAAAGACAGUAGCUCAACUACUGCAAGGCAGUGGAAACUGAAUAGCUAGAGUGCGGUAGGGGCAGAGGGAAUUCCCGGUGUAGCGGUGAAAUGCGUAGAGAUCGGGAAGAACAUCGGUGGCGAAAGCGCUCUACUGGACGGCAACUGACACUCAGGGACGAAAGCUAGGGGAGCGAAUGGGAUUAGAUACCCCAGUAGUC